rfam:Gossypium raimondii Chr02_contig_478, whole genome shotgun sequence.
AAUGGGAGAAUGACAAAUCAGAUUUUUUCUCCUGAUUUUUAGCUUUUUCCUCUUGAAAAAAUUCAAAUCCAACUAAAAAUACUAAAAAUCAGGAAAAUAAAAAUCUGAUUUGUCAUUCUCUUAUU